rnacentral:lncRNA from 1 species
GACAUGGUGGGGGCAGCCAGGAACGGUGUGCCAGGGGGAGGAACAGCUUGAGCAAAGGUGCAGAGAGGAGACAGGCAAAGAGAACCACAUGUGACAUGGUGGGACAUGCCGGAAUCUUCCAGAGAGAAGCAAGGUCUCGCUGUGUUACCCUGGCUGGAGUGCAGUGGCUACUUACAGGCAUGAUCAUAGCAUACUGCAGCCUCGAACUCCUGGACUAGAGCAGUUCUCCUGCCUCAGCCUCCAGAGCAGCUGGGACUGCAGACACGCACCACAGAGCCCAGCCUGAGUCAUUUUGAUUCUGUAACUGGCUUCCUCUCGGCGGGCAGGCUCACACCCUCCACCCCCAGCUGGAGAUGGAAGGAGGAUGCUCACCGCCCAUUCCUCAUGCAGGCCAUCGAUGGAAAUGUCAGACAGUGCGAGUCCACGCCUGAACACUUCUGGGGUCCGCUCUGGGACUGACACUGGCAGAUCCAUCGUGGCACCCGAGCUCUGUGAGGGCAAGACUUUGUUCGGUUGUGGGCUAUGCCCCCAACCCCUCGGACAGUGCCUGCACAGGUGGACAUUUUUGUUGGAUGAAGGAUUUUCUGUUAAAUGUGUCUGGCACACACAGAAAAACAAAGCCCAGCAGGGUCUCGCCCUGUCACCCAGGCUGGAGUACAGUGGCGCAAUAUGGGCUCACUGCAACCUCCACCUCCUGGGCUCAAGUGAUCCUCCCAUCUCAGACCCUCAAGGAGCUGGGGCUACAGGCACGUGCCACCGUGUCCGGCUAAUUUUUGUAUUUUUUGUAGAGACAGGGUUUCACCAUGUUGCCCAGGCUGGUCUCAAACUCCUGAGCUCAGGUGAUCCGCCUGCCUUGGCCUGCGAUAAAAUUGCACAGAAGUAAAUACACACACGUGAGGAUACGGAAAACCGGGGAAACCUGAGCAAGAGCAGUCAGACCCCGGCUGUGAUGGCGCCCAGUAGUUCUGCGAGAUGUUACCAUUGGGGAAACUGAGUGAAGGCGGGUACCUGGGAUCCCUCUGUUUUCUUUUUUGUUGUUGUUGUUAUUUUGAGAUGAAGUUUCCCUCUUGUUGCCCAGGCUGGGUGAUCCACCUGCCUCGGCCUCCCAAAGUGCUGGGAUUACACGCGUGAGCCACUGUGCCCAGCCUCUCUGUUUUAUUUCUUCUUUUUUUUUUUUUUUUUUUGGAGACGCUCUGUCGCCCAGGCUGGAGUGCAGUGGCACGAUAUUGGCUCACUGCAAGCUCCGCCUCCUGGGUUCACACCAUUCUCCUGCCUCAGCCUCCCGAGUAGCUGGGACUACAGGCGCCCGCCACCUCGCCCGUCUAAUUUUUUGUAUUUUUAGUAGAGGCGGGGCUUCACCGUGUUAGCCAGGAUGGUCUCAAUCUCCUGACCUCGUCAUCCGCCCGUCUCGGCCUCCCAUAGUGCUGGGAUUACAGGCAUGAGCCACCACGCCCGGCUGUUUUAUUUCUUAUAACUGUACAGGAAUCUACAAUGAUUGUAACAAAAAUUUCAAUUAAGGCCACUCUAGGCACAUGGCCUGUGGGGUAGCCCUGCUCAACAAGAAGCCGUCAAAAAAAUGUUUUUUAAUUAAAAAAUUUCUUCAAUUAAAAA